CUGAAUGAACGUCGUACGCCCGGAGACUGGCCUUGGGUUUCUGUUUGUGUAGCCAGUCAGGCUUUGGUGGUGAAGCUUCAAGGCUGACCUUUCCUCCAGGACAGAGUGCGUGCGUGGACUCCCAUGCCAGCCCCUGACGUGCCUCUAGAGGAGAAGCCAGGGGCACGGAGGUCCUGUUUUCCUCUCGUGUUCCUUCUGUCGCCUCCAGGACACAGUCCAGAAGCUGAAGACGGGGAAAGGAGAGGCAAGAGCCCUGGAGGAAGAGUCGGAAGAUCUAGACCAGUCGAAGAUAAUUUUGCGUGGUUCGGCCUAGUCCAUUUCCAUGCCUUUGGGCCAGCGGAGAGGGAAUCCCCACUGAGUCAUCCUGAGCAGCAUGUUUUAAAGGGUCUCUGAGAGAUCUUCCCGUGCAGUGUGAUGGGACAGCCUCUUUUCAGCAUCUCUGAAGAUGGAGACAGAGAGGAGCUAUGGGUCUUGCCAAGGUCACAGGAUUGGAGUCCAGAGCCAUGUCACUCCAGGACAUGGGAGGUCAUCAGC